rnacentral:lncRNA from 1 species
AAGAAGUGGAAAAAUUGAUUCAAUUUCUAAGUGAUCGCGGAAUUUAAGUAUACUAAAAAAGCCAUUUCUAAACUGUUAAACAAUGGCGGAUAAAACUCGCAAACGAUUAAGUCAGGACAAAAAGAACAGCAUUAUCUCUCAGACAAUACUUGAGACUAGUGACGAGACUGCAUCACAUACAUAUAGUGACGACGUACCGGAGAUAGAUUUGGAUAAUCCUGUAAACUUUGAGAGAAGAGAACCUUAUAAAUCUCCAAGGUCACCUACCAUCGAUGCUGAGUUGCAGAAGGAGACGCUAAAUUUAGUUAUAUCUACACUGAAUGAGUCGGGUAAUCAUGGAGAUCAGCCAGAGAUGAACAAUAACCAAACAGCCGAUAAAGG